UUUUUAUUAGUAUAAAAUUUAGUAUAGUUGUUUUCCAAACAAAAAGUUUAAUUGAAGA
rnacentral:tRNA from 2 species